UUUUUUUUUUUUUUUUUUUUUUUUUUUUUUUUUUUCUGCUUGUGAUAUACUGUUUUUGCUGACUUAUACUUGGCCUUUCAUUGCUAGCACCUUAUAUAAUUUUGUAGGGUUAACAAAAGUUAACAAAGUGACAAUGUUGGUGACAAAUGAACGUGGAAAGAAUUGCAUUGCUAAAAAUAAUUGGUGAAAUGUCAUUCUCUAAUGCUAUUAUAGAAACACAUACGUAACUCUGCUGACCAUUAACAUCAACUCACUGUGUUUGUUUGAGCUUGACUCGUAUUCUCUAAUUGUGCCACCGCCACCUGUGUCCUAAAGCGGGUCCGACAUAACUUAUAACCUUGUACCCUGAAGACUGAUCUGGACAUCAACAUACCAUUUUUAGCAGCACAAAACACCAAAUAGCCCCCCCAAAAACAAAAUAGGAAAAAGAUAAAAAAAAAAAAAAAAAAAAAAGACAUUCAAGUAAUGAUGUGUCUCAAUUUGACGAUAGCUCUCUCUCUCUGCAGCUAUGUCCAUUAUAUUGGCCACAUAAGUUUAUGAAAUUUUCAUCGACCGUCCACUUGGCCUGGCCUUUUUAAUGUUAAAUCAUCAAUGGACCAAGAGUUUGUACAAAUUAGAAUUUGAUCUUCUUGAAAGGACAAGCACAGUCGUUUUGUCUUUUUUUUUUUUUUUUUUUUUUUUUUUUUUAUAGAAUUUGGACCACUUUGAAUUCUACCCUUUGGACACACCGAACUGGAAAAUCAAUCGAAUUUAUUAUUUUUUAGUAGUCUUUUCUAGUGAAGUGGUCACUUUGGUUUUCAAUUACUGUUUUUCUGGUUGAAAUUCACGUAUUAGAGCGUCAGGAAUAAAACAAAUCAAAAAUUCAAAAAAAUGUUACCUAACAUUUCUAGAUUAUUUAUUUUUUUUAUUAAUGUUAUUUUCUUUAUGAUUAAUGUUUUGAAACUCAUUUUUACUUCCAUAAUUUUAUUAUUACCGGUUGAAGAUUCAACCCCUCCGUUAUUGAAAGAUUUGAAAUAUAACACGCAUUAAUUAUGAUGUAUUGAUCAUUUGUCUUCGAAACUGAUGUCAAAUUGUUAUUGGUCGGAAUUCUAAACCCCAACUUGGCUACUAACUGAUGGAGACUUGCUAUUUGCUACUAACAUUUUAUGUGAUUUGAUUUGUUGGAAUUUGAAUCAUUUUAUCCACUAUGUGUUUCUUUGGCUGAGAAAAGAUAAAUAAAUUAUAAAAAUUGAUAAAUUUUAAUUUAACCGUUAAUGCUAUUAUCUUGAAAUUAUGACUUUUUAUAUUAAUAACAGUUAUUGUAAAAAUACUUUUUAAAUUUAUAAGAAAAGCAAAAAAACAGGAAGCUAAUGUCCUACUUUUUUAUUUCUUUAAUAGAAAAUAUUAGAAAAACAUUUUUCUUUAUUGUUUCAACUCAAAGAAAGUCUGGUGUAUGAUGUAAAAGAUAGAAAAUGAUUAGAAAUUUGACGUCAUAUUAAGAAUUGGAAUCCUCUUUGACUUUUUUUUGAAUGGCAGAUAGCAUAGGAAUAAUACCAAAUAAAGUGGAAUUUAUAUUAUUAUCCACUUAAUUAGCAACCAUUAAACCUUUGUAUUAUUUUUUUUUUUCAUACUUUAUCAAUUACAAAAUCUCUCUCUAAUCGCAUAAACAAUAUAUAAUAAAUUGAUAUUAUAUACUUUUAACUAUAUAAAAGUAAUGACCUGACAUUAAUCGAUACUAAAUUCGAACCUCUGUACUCUUAAUUUUUAAAGUUAUAAAUUAUAAUUUAUGUAUUGGAUUCAUAUAUAUGGGACAAAAGCACAAGUUCAAGAUUAGUUGUAAUAAACUCAAGAAAUGAUCUUCAGUAUACUUCAAGACUUUGGUUAUUUUCACACAUUAUUUCUGUAGUUUUAACCUUUCCUCGUUUUUAUGAUUUUUUUUUUUUUUUUGAAGCAAAAAGAGAAAAAACAUUUGUCCUCUUAUGAUUCUUUAAUUUUUGAUUUUCAAUAAAAACAAAAUCAAAUUAAAGUUCUAUUUACUAACGAAGAUCGAAUAAGGCCCCACAAAUCUGUAUAAAAUCUUGAUUUCUCUUGUCUAUGUGGAUUUGUAUUGGAGUGUGACAUUUCAAGUCGGUAAAUAUAUUAGUUUCUAUUUUUUUUUUAAAUAAAUUUAUUUCAUUUUAUUAUUUCUUAAAUAAUGAAAUGGGAUAUUUUUAGUCAAUUUUUCCAUAGUGAUAUUGAUUAGUAAUUUUGAUUAACGUUUAAUGAUGGACUUUCGAAAGGAUUUGCUUAAUUAACAGUCAAGAAAUCUAAUUACACUUCAUAUGGACCAUUCAAAUUUUCAAUCUUUUUGUUUUUUUUUUUGGAUGAAAGGACAAAGAAGGGUCUGGAUCAAUACCUAGAUAUGGAGGUUUAGACAAAUUUAGGGUUAGGAUAGAACCUAAUUAAUUAAGUUAUAUAAGUAGUUUGAUUAGAUAUAAAACAAUAUUAUAUUCUACCUAAUUAACAACAAGUUUUAAACUUGUAAUGUAAUGUCAAAAAAAAAAAAAAAAAAACUUGUAAUGUGAAUGCAGACAAGGUCAAACACAUUGCUAUAUGGCAAGGGCGCAAGAUAGUGAGCCAAUGAGAGUGAUCAAUAAGAAGGACAAAAGAGGUCAUAUCAAUGUGUACAACCUGCAAAUUAAUGGAUUGUCCCACCAAAAACUUUAGUAUUACUCCCUUAAACUUAUCGAAAACGUUUGUAAUUAAAAUUGAAAUGACUAUGAUUUAAAAUUUUUAAAGAUCAAUUAGAUUAUAUUUGAUUGGCAGUUUAAAUUUUUUAUUUGUAUUAGAAAAUAGUUGGUUUUUAACCAUGUGGUGAUGUGGGUUGGAUUCCCCAGCUUAAGGCCCCAAAUAAUUAUGUGAAUGUUAGAGGAUUUUCUAUAUAUGCCCACCUAAUUAAUUAAACAGCCAUAGUGAUUAUAGAAUUCUAACACUCGCUUAAUAUGGUGAUUAAUGGUUAACUUAAUGGGCAAGAGUGAUUGCAGAAUUGCAAUUUAAAAAUAAUGAAAAAUGGAAAAUAUUGUAAUUGGACAAACUUUUUGUCUAGCAAAAUGGCUGAGUGCGGCUAUGAUUGUGACCAAACCUCUCUAUCACAUUGCAGUAAUUAAGUUUAAGUUUAUUAAAUAAAAUAUUUAUUGUUUAGCAUACAUUAUUGACCGCACUACUGAUUUUUAGGGGAGGUAAUGGAUCUUGAUUUGCUAAAAGAGGAAAUCAAAGAUAUAUAUUCUUUGUUUCAUUUAAUGAAGAUAUUUAUAAAAUGUGAAUUCUUGCAUCAGAAGCUAAAGCAGAAAGUUUGGAAUGGGUAAUGUAUAUUAAAUAAUUAAAAAUAAAGUCCACUAAAAAAAUAUUAAAAUAAAGCAACUUAAAUUUGUACUCAAUGAAUAAAAUAAAUUAACAAAAACAAGAAAAGUAUCCAUUGCCAAUUUAAUAUUCUAAACGAGGGAAUUUUCAAAUAUUUACUUUCUUUAGGUUAGAGAUAUAUUUUUACACAUAAGAUAGUAUCAGUAUUUAAUUUUAACAUUGGAAAAUGAGAAAUACGGAAAUUAGUGAAAACGACAAGUUAUAAUAACAGCCAAUACAAAGGGGACAAGCCGUUGAUUUAGAACAUUAAAAUUUGCUCCCCAAACUGCUAACAGUCCAAAUAGAGAAAAGCUUAAUUAAAAAAACAUUUGGCAGCGACACGUGGCUAUUAGACACGUAGGGACAAUGACUCCAUGCGCCAACGCACAAUCUGCCUUAGCCCAAAAGUAAAGCCAAAACCAAAUCCGAUUCCAAGCUACCGAAUCUAAGCUGUUUUACACUCCCCCCUUUCUAUUUUUAUUUUUUAUAAUUUAUAUACUCCACGCUCCUUGCCAUCGUGUGGGCGUUUAUUUUUGUUUUUUUUUAUUUACUUUUAAAUUUUUAUUACUGCUGUAAGAUAAUAUUUACAUUAAGACAGACUGAGCCCAUUACAAGCACUGUAGAUAAAUUCUUUUUUUCAGGAAAUUAAAUUGAAAAAACAGUGAGACAGAGAUAACAUAUAUGGAGUUCAAAUAUAAGCAAUAUACAUUGGAAAAAAACACCUAUAGUUCCAAAAGAGCGAGCAUUGAUCCCAAACUCAAGUUGCUGACUGCUGAGCCUGUCUGUGUUUCCCCAAUUUGUUGUCAAAAACCGGGACCACGUCCACGUAACACCCUUACCGGUACACGCAUGACACGCGCGUCGAUUGCGAGUUAGAAAACCAUUCCAUCUGAAAAUAUCUAACCAUGAGGGACCACGGACUUGUAACAAAAGAUUAUAAAAGCGGAGGCACGUGGGUCCCAUUCUCGUGACCCAAGAAAUAUCACAAACCAUACGGGUUUGGCUUCCUGCCACGUUAACUCAUCUUACAGUAGGCGCGCGUCCGCUUAUAUAUUGCGGUGCUACCUCAACGACAUUAAAAUAAUAAUAAUAAUAAUAAAAAUAAAAAUAAAGAGCCGGCUGUGAGACGGCCCAACCCAUCCGCACCACCUGCUUCUCCUCCUUCCUCCAUAAGAAGCAGCUUCACUUUCUUUUAGAGGAGAAUUAAAUACAGCCUAGUUUAUGGGAUGGAGUCUAACAACGUCGUAGCACCGUUCGUUAUGAAGACUUAUCAGAUUGUCAAUGAUCCAAAGACGGAUACGAUAAUCAGUUGGGGCAAAGCCAAUAACAGCUUCAUCGUCAUCGACCCGUUAGAUUUCUCACAGAGGAUCUUACCUGCUUAUUUCAAACACAACAACUUCUCUAGCUUCGUUCGUCAAUUAAACACCUAUGUAAGUCCCUCUAAUUAUAAUUAAUUAAUAUAAAUACGCCUAAAAUAUUAUUAAUUAAUAGUGUUUUAACGUUAAUUUUAAUUAUUAACAGGGUUUUAGAAAAGUGGAUCCCGAUAGAUGGGAAUUCGCAAAUGAAUGUUUCUUAAGAGGCCAAAAGCAGUUACUGAAGAAUAUAGUUCGUAGAAAGCAUAGUAAGAGCUCAUUUAUGCAAGGUAAAAUUGAGGACUUUGACAAUGAAGAGUUGGUUAUGGAGAUAGCGAGGUUGAAGCAGGAACAGAAGCUUCUAGAGAAAGAGCUUGAAGGGAUGAACAAACGUUUAGAGGCUACGGAGAGAAGACCUCAACAAAUGAUGGCUUUUCUUAACAAAGUCGUCGAGGACCCUGAUCUUCUUCCUCGCAUGAUGCUCCAGAAGGAACGAACCAGACAAUUAACUGAAAAGAAACGCCGUCUUAUGAUUUCUUCUUCUUCGUCGUCCUCUGGUGGAGCCGCCGUUUCUAGUUCUGUUAAGUCUGAAGAAGAAGAAGAGGAGGGAAACAUAGGGGUAAUAUCGUCACAAGAGAAUAAUAACCUUUGGCAAUCAUCCCCGUCGCCGGAGACAAAUCCUAUAAGAUGGUUAGGAGAAGGAAACUACGGUUGUUUGAUAGAGCCUGGUCUGUUAACGUCGGGUUCUUCAGUAGGUGCAGGGAUUGGGAAUAGUGUGACUGUAGCGGUGUCUCCGCCAGGGAACGGUUUGAUAGUUUAUGGCGGUGAUAGGGUAGGGGAAAUUAGUUAUUUUGCAGGACUGGAGGCGGGGGUGGAUGCAAGACCGCCACCGCCUUAUCCAUUUUCGCUUUUAGGAGGUGGCUUUUAGCUGCUAUUAACAAGAAAUAUCAUCUUGGAUUCUAUAUACCUUCUGUAUUAAUUUUGCUUUUUGGUAUAUUGCCUUUUCUUUAUCCCUUUCUUUGGUUUAAUAAUUCUUGUAAAAAAACAGAAGUAAUUUAAUUUUGUGGUUAAUAUGCUGUUUAUAUUGAUAAUACAUUUCCAACAAAUCUUCUUUUAUAUAUAUACACACAAAUCAUAAAUAUAUAAAUAAAAUUAUUUCGCAAAAAUAUAUAUAUAUUUUUUAUAAGAAAAUUAUGACAUAAUCCUCUUAUUAGAGGGAGGUUGAGAAAUGGUGGUAUAACUAUGAAUGAUCGACAUGUUAUUUUUCUGUAAAAAUGAUCAGACGGCAUUCACUUUUAUGUAUUAAUAACAAAUUACAAGAAGUUGUCUUGUGCAUGAACCUGAACCUGAACCUGACGUUCCUGGAUUCUGAUUCUUUCUUCCUUUUUUUUUUUCUUUCUGCAACCUAUGAAAAGGCGGUUGGACCUUUUUAAUUUUCGGAGUUAUCAAUUUCACAAAGUUGGGGAGCAGACGGAUAAGUUAUCCAUCCAUAAUCCAUUGACACCGCCGCAGCAAUUUGCUAUGCCUCACUUCGCCUUUUACCCAAUUAGAACACGCCACAUGUCAGAGUCUGGCUUAACCCACUGUACUUUGCCCUCCUAAUAUUGGCAAAGUGGCAGUGGAAGUCAAAUAUUUGAGGGAAUCAGAAUUUAAUAAAAAGAAAACGCAGGCAUGUGACUCGCCUCUUUCAGAUCACAUUGGGGCACACUUUCAGAUCAUCAUCAUCAUCAUCACCAAUUAAAAAAAUAAAAAUAAAAAUAAAAAUUUACACGGUUGGAAAAGGCAAACACCCUUUUUUAAUACCUCUCUGUGCUCUUGUCCCACCUGAGCUGGCACUCCUUGUUUUCUUGCUUUCCCAGUUAGCCUUACCCUUCACAGCAAAAUCACGUGCCAUCUGCGUGACAGUUGAGAUGCGAAUUUCCUCUUUAUAGCCUCAUCAUAGACACCACGUGAAGGACAAAGUUAAAACAACACCUAUAUUGUCCAAAUCUGAUUAAUCUAGGAUUCAUGUUAAUGUAAUUAAUUUCAGAAUAGAGUAAGCUUUGUUAUUGUUGGUAAAUAUUGUCCUAUGACUCCACGCGUACAUUUACCAGAAGUUUGAUAUACAGUAGCAGUAAAUUAGUAACAGUACAAGUGACGAGAGGUGAACGUGAGAAGUCGAUCACGUGGGACCCGUAAAGCGACUAAAUCCCGUUUUUGGAAGUUUUAUCGGAGGACGCGUGUCAACCAAGUGGACAUAUUACUAUGUGAUGUGGGGCCAAGCGCUGACAAGGACUAAUUGCGGAGGGAGGCCUGAAGGUGUGGGGACAUGUAAAGGGCAUCUUGUCUUGUGGGGACCAAUCCUCGUCUAGUGAGUCCACGUGGGGAGUGUAAGAGGAGGGAGUGGCACGUGUUAGCAUUCCGAUGCUAUCGCUUUUUAGUGUUCACAUGGAUAUGAGGAAGAGGAGGCCCCCCUCCCAUCAAACUCCAACUCCAACUCCAACUCCAACCCCAACCCAGCCCAGGCCCUGUUGCGGUGCACCUCUGGCACACAAAAUCAUGCUAGGCGUUGAACCCAUUACUUGAGUAGGUCCCACCACGUGUCAACUCUUUUCUUUCUUAAUUCGUUUAUUUUAUUAUUAUCAUUAUUAUUAUUAGAAUAAUAAUCUAACUACAACAACUUGAGACUGAGAUACGUUAUAACCCAACCCAACCCAAAUCCAGUCCAAACAAAAUAUCCUCUAGCUAAAUUCUUAGUAUUUUAAUUUUUAAAUACAAACUGGAAAGGAAGAGGGACACGUGGCCAUUUGAAAGACAAGGAAAGUCACUGUCUAAUGGAGAUGAACCAAUCAGAACCAUUAAUUUAGGUAAAUAAUUGUGGCUUUAUGAUUAUAAAGUGUGGUUAAACCACGGCCACGUAAAAUGAAUCAGGCACGUCACCCUCCGACUGAUAAAAAAAAAUAUUAGAAAUUAGAAUACAUGUGAUGUACAUUAGGACUAAGGCAAUGGUGUAACUUUAUGAUCCACUGAUUAUAGGAUAGGACCCAUUAACUGAAAAUGAAUAAAUAAAUAAACAAAUAAAAAAAUAGUGGAGUUUGUGUCCCACAGCUGAGAUGAUAAGUAAUCGCUCUAAUAUUACUCGCAAUUUUCGCACGCUUGGUUUAUUUAUUCUUAAGCUGCUUCAAACCGGCAUGCAAAUCAUACAUACAAUUAUUGACCGCAAAAGAAAAUGAGUGACUGUUCGCGCGGCUGACUCACAGCUUGAAUUGUCAUUUACGGUCUAAUACACCAUCUGUAAAACUGAACGAAUUUAAUAAAUAUUAAAUUCUUGUAAUUUUCUAGAAUUUGAAGAAUUAUAUUAUAUCAUGCAAUUUAAACAAUUUGCUUAUUGCGAAGCCAACAAUUUUGAAUUCAGAAUUGUUAUGAUGACAAUCCCACAAAAUAUGGAUGAAGAAAUGGAAAGUCUUUCCCAUGAAACGCUUAAUCAAACACAUGCUUCGAAAAUUCCUACCUUGAAAUAUUGACUGAUAACAUUUGAAGACCCUUUACCAUUGAUUUUUUGUUAAGCCGCCUAACAAUCAUUAGACUUGAAAUCUUGAAUUAAUUUGAUAUAGACCAUAUAAAAAAAAAAAAAAAAAAAAAGUUUGGAAAUUACCUUCUUUUCGAAAAAAACAAAAAAAAAGAAAAAAGAAAAACACUAACGACGUUAAUAAUAGCAGGAUUUCGGCUCAAAAGCCGAUACGACGUCCAUUGGGCUAAGCAUCAGAAGCCCAAUAUGUGCAAGGUUUUGGGUUUCUUGUAGUGGACCUAAUGUAUACUUAACCGAGCAAUUGGGUUUGCAUAGGGGUGUUUUAUUGCUUUCGGACUUCGAUGAAGCCCAGCCCAUAUUGUAUAGAUUUUGAUAACUGAGGAGACCUAAAAUUUUGUCAUGUCAAACUAAACUGUACCAAAGGAUCAGUAUUUGUCACAAAAAACUAAAAGAUCCUGGCCAUUAAUCCCACUUUUGCCUAACAAGUAACCACCCAACUAAAGUAGUAGGCCGAGCAAUGCCUUUUCAUACUGUCUCAUAAAUACAAAAUUUAUAAAUUAGGUAAUGGAGCCUUUAUUAUUAUUAUUAUUAUUAUUAUUUUUUCAAUACUUUAUUAUUAUGCUUUUGAAGUUGGGCUAUAAUCAGAUUUUGCUAAGAAAUAAUAAGGCCCACCAACUAACAUUUGAAGUCCCAACAUCCCUUCCUAAAGCUACUAAUUAAGCCAUAAAAAAGUCUGCAUUGACACUGCAAAAAACCUUAAACUCCCAUCUUAGUAUCGUGAUUAAUUAUAAUUAGAAACAAACCUACUUAGCUUAGCUUAGGUAUAUAGGCCGGCCUUUACCAUGGGAAUUGAAGCAACCUUGUAAAGGCUGUAUAACAUUUUGGGAUCCACGUAUAUAUAAAUGCUUGUCUUAUGUUUCGUGUAUUUAUACUUAGGGUUAGGAUAAAAAAUUUUAAAACGCCUAAAACAAACUUUAUGCCAUUCUCGAAUUGAUUUUGCCAAUAAUAUAUAAAUUGUUUUUUCUUUUUCAUUUUUGGAAAAAUAUUCUUGAUUUCAGUGUCUUUUUUUUUUUUUUUUUUUUUUGUGAUGCUUUUGUUUAUUUAUAUAUUUAUUGUAGUUGUUGGCUGAAUUAUAGCAAAAAUAUUCCUUUUAUUACUCAAAAUUUAGAUAAAUUGUAAGUAAAAAGAAAAAUCAGAUUCAGAUGUACUUGGUUUCUGUAAUUAGUUGACGGAGUAAUAUUUCCAAUGUGAAAGAAAAAAGAAAAACCCAAUAGGAAUUAAUCAAACUGAUUUAGUCAAUCUUAAUUUGAUUUUGAGAUGCCCAAUGAUUUCUUUGUUUUUCUUUUAACGAAAUUUCUAACUGUUUAAUAUUAUCCACUAUUAGUAACUACUAACUAACGAAUCGCUGACUCUGAUUUUAAUAUAUUCAAAUUUAUAAAAAAGAACAUUUAAAUUUGAGCUUUCAAAUAUAUGUGUUUAAAUUUAAAAUUUCUCACAUUUGAUUGUUAAAAAUUUAAAUAAAAACAUCAAAAAUAUAUUUCUUCAAUUAGUAAAAUUGAAAUUGGAGAAAUGAUGGUUAUCUUAUAAAAUGAUUAGAGUAGGCUAAUUGGGUAGGUUUGAUUAUUAGUCUUCUUUAAUAAUUUGGAAUUGAACGAGUGGUUAACUUAGUAGACGUAAAGAGUAAGAACAUGCAUGGCAUAUAUAUAUGUGUUUGUAUUGGAAAUGCCAAAUGGAAUAGAAAACUGAAAAGGAAAAGACAGCAAACAUUCUUUUUAUUGCACGCUUCAAAUGAAGCUCCAGAAAGAAUCUUCCGAAGCAACUCUUUUUUUGAUGAAGAGGAAUAUAUAUAAAAGGAAGAGAAGGUGUGGAUGGGGAAGAAAGAAAUUGUCCAAAGUCUUGGUGGGAGAGAAUGUUCUUUGAUUCCGCAUGAUAACAAACAAUAAUAGUGGGAUGAUUCAUGGAUUUGAUUCAACUACCGUACUUUGAUUCCCAUUUACUAUCCCAUUUCAGAAAAAUUUAUAUCAUUUAACUCUCCAACUUUAACAAUUCUGAGAUAUGAUUUUUCCAAUUUCAGAUUAUAUCUUUCUAACUUGAAUUACAGCUAUGCAAGUAGCCGUUUCAUGAUUCUAAUUUAAUUCUAUUUUUCUUUGUAUAAGAUUUUGGCUUCCUUCCUGAACAUGACAUACAAUUUCGUACUCAUGAUUUACCAAUUAAUAUAACAACACAUUGGUCUCACUCUAUAAGUAGUCCAUGAACCCCAUUUAGUAACUGGAAAGGUUUGGUCCAAAGCAGCAUCAUGACUACCUUGCGAUGUACUUCAAAUCAGAUGGUUAGGAACUGUCAAUUGGUAACCAUUCACAGUUCUAGUUUCCAAUUCCUUGGCUCCCUACGUAGAUUCUCCAUUUAACAUGAUCACCGUAAUUAAAAUGUUAUUAGAAAAAGAAAAAAAGAAAAUGUAUAGUCAAGAUCUAUUUGGAAAAAUUAGUUAUUUGCUAACUGUCAGUUGUUUUAGUUGUUUAAUUGUUAGUUGUUUUAAUGAUUAAAAUGUUAAUUUUAAUCAUGUUUCAAUUAAAUGUAAAAAAAAUAAUUAUGUGAGAUGAAUGUGAACUUUAUACGCUUUGUAAUUUAUUAUUAUUAUUAUACCAUGAUCCACGUUUAUAGUUUUUCGAUUCAGUUGAUACAGGUAUACUCUAACCACUUAUUCGUCUAGAUGUCAUCUUGCCAUCUAAUAUGUUCUUUCCAAUUGGAUAAUAUCACACAAACAUAUACAUAAUAUAAUUUAUAUAUUAAAAUAUAAUUUUUGCAUAUUUCCACGAAUGCCAUCAACGAGCAGGCUACUUUGUCCUCGACGCCUAGUGAAGCAGAGAGUUUCUUUUCCCUCAUAUUUCUUUUUUUUUUUUUUUAUUUAAAAGUUGGUUAAUGGAAGUUAGUUACUCACACUAACGUAGGUAGAAAAAUAUUAUAUAUAUAAGCAGAGAGAAAUUGAGACCACUGACCAUUUCUUAUAUAUAUAAAUUCAGUAUUCUGAAUCACACCCUUGAAAAGUGUUGGUUUUAGCUCCGCAGGUGUCGGCCUUCAUUUUCUCCUCUAUUGAACAAAAACUAGAAGAUCCAUGGAGAUUAGACCCUCUCAAAAUUAAUUAUCCAUAGUUCCACAAAUCCAGGAAUUCCAAAUCUCUCUUUUGGAUAAGAAGAAGAUCAAAUUUCUCUCUUUCUCUGUCCCAAAUCCAUCUGUAUUUAAACAGCUCUCCUGAUGAGUUCUAUUUUGUGUCAAAAAGGGAUUCCUUCAGUUUCCUGUUCCGCAUCAACUUCUACAUAGUUAAUUUACUUAGCUAUAUCUUUUGUUUUGCCUUAUGGACUAUUACUUGAAAGAAGUGGAAGGCAAAAGAGUCCAUGACCCCUUCAACAAGAAAAUGGCCAUAUCACCAAGUAGGUGUAUAUGGGUACCAGGAGCUCUUAUUGUUGGUGCUGGUCCUUCAGGUUUAGCUACUGCUGCAUGUCUUAAAGAAAGAGGUGUUCCUAGUUUAAUUCUUGAAAGGGCUAAUUGCAUAGCUUCUCUAUGGCAACUCAAAACUUAUGAUCGUCUUCGUCUUCAUCUUCCUAAACACUUCUGUGAGCUUCCUCUUUUGCCUUUCCCAUCAAAUUUCCCUACCUACCCUACAAAACAACAGUUUGUGGGUUACUUGGAAUCCUACACCAAAUUUUUUGGUCUCGAACCAGUCUUUAAUAACACAGUUGUCAGUGCAGAAUUUGAUAGUCGAUGUGGGCUUUGGAAGGUUAAGUCGUCUGGGCUUAAAGAGGAAGAAUCUGAAUAUGUAUGCCAAUGGUUAAUCGUUGCCACCGGAGAAAAUGCGGAUGAGGUUGUGCCUGAUAUUGAAGGAAUGGCUGAUUUUCAAGGACUUAUAAUGCAUACAAGUUCCUAUAGGAGUGGCGAAGUCUUUAGAGGAAAGACUGCUUUGGUUGUUGGAUGUGGCAAUUCCGGUAUGGAGGUCUGUUUAGAUCUCUGCAACUACAAUGCUUACCCUUCCAUUGUUGUUAGAGACUCGGUGAGCAUCCUUUAAUUUUCUUUUUCCCUCUCUUCCUUUCUUUCUUUCUUUCAUUCUCAAGCAGUCAAUUUUUUGCUUUUAUUUUAACAUAUGCUUAAUUUAGAAAAGACAAAAUCAAAGAAAGUUUUCAUUUUUAUUAUACUGUUAUUGUUUUAAUAUGUUUGUAAAAUAUCUUUAUUAUUUUACUAUUCUUUGCCACAUAAACAUAAGCUAUUAUAUUUGUUGAGAAUAUGUUCUGCAACAAUACAGACAAAGCAACUGUGCGACUCUUUUAUGCCACUUUUUCACCCCACUUGAGGGAGUUCGGAAAUUACUUGUUGCAGACUCAACUGUAUAAUAUUGUAAGGUUUUGUUUUCUUUUGUUGACUUUAGCUGCGGUAACAGUUUAUAUUAAUCUCUUGGUGAAUAGAUUUCUGGAUUUUUUUUUUUGAAUGAAACAUCACGUAGUUUAUUGGUAAGUCAGAAGUAAACCCCAAUUGUCCUUUUUCUUUAAAAAAUUUUCGCUAUAAUGAUACAAACUAAUAAAUAAAUAAAUAAAAUCUUUGAAUUUGAUGUAUCACUUUCUUGGAAUUUGUUUGCAUGCGUAGCCAUAGUCAGCAUUCCAAAAACUCGUAUGUCUUAAUUCUUUUUGGGAUUCUACUCUGCACAGUAUUGCAGAUUCUAAAGUAUAUAUGGAAAAUAAGCGUAGAAAUGGUACAUAUCCUGAAAGUUGCAAAUUCACACAUUAGUCGGUGACAUGCGUGGGGGACUCAUUAGCUUAUCUAACCCACUCCUUCGAAACUUUUCAAGUAACUUUUUUCUUUCCUUUGGGGGUUUUUUUUUGCAGGUGCAUGUCCUGCCACAACAGAUGCUCGGAAGAUCAACUUUUGGAUUAUCCAUGUGGCUGCUAAAGUGGUUUCCUUUGAAGCUUGUGGAUCAAAUUCUGUUGUUUCUUUCAUAUUUCUUGCUUGGUGAUACUUCUAAACUUGGCAUUCAUCGCCCUAAACUUGGCCCCCUCCAACUCAAAAAUACCGCUGGAAAAACUCCUGUUUUAGAUGUUGGAACUCUCGCUAAGAUCAGAACUGGAGAGAUUAAGGUUAACUUUUUUUCUAUUGAGAUCAAAUAACAUUCAUAAAUGUUGUUUAUAAUUUAUUAUUUUAUAAUUAAUUGUAGGUUUUCCCAGAAAUAAAGAGAGUAAUGCGUGGUUCUGUGGAGUUUGUCGAUGGAAGGAUUCAAGAUUUUGAUGCUAUUAUUCUAGCCACAGGUUACAAAAGUAAUGUGCCUUACUGGUUGAAGGUUAGUUUAUUGAAUCUUUAACAUGAAAGAAGAAUGAUUCUGUUAAUGCAGAAUUAAAGUUUUUUUUUUUUUUUUUGAAAAAAAAGAUGAUCAUCAUGAAUUUUUGCGCUCAGGAGAACAAAAUGUUUUCAAAGAAAGAUGGAAUGCCCCACAAUUCAUUCCCAAAUGGAUGGAAAGGUGAAAAUGGACUGUAUGCAGUAGGCUUUACGAAGCGUGGCCUGCUUGGCGCAUCUAUUGAUGCAAGAAGAGUCGCACAAGACAUUGAGCUUCGCUGGAAAGCUGAAGCUACAAGUUUCAUGGCCAGUGCCCGUGCAUUGCCUCAGCAAUCAUGACUCCAGGGAAACAAAAACCAAAAAAAAAAAAAAAAAAAAAGAAAAAGAAAAAAAUUCCUCUCUCUUGAGUGAAGAUCCAAGCAUGCAGGAAAUAAUAGAACGAGAAAGGACAAGUUGUCUUUUUAACUUUUCGUAUGCACAGAAGCAAGCUAGGAAUGCUACAGAAAAAUUAAAGAUGGGUUUUGGGGGGGGGUGGGUUGAGAUUAUUAUUGGUUUUUUGAGGCAGGAGAAAAUUCUCAACGUGUGUACAUAGCUUGUGCUUUUCUUAAGAAACAAUUUUUUAUAUUCGCUAGUUUUCUGUUAUUAGUUUGGUAAAUAUUUAUAACAAGGGAAGGUUUGGUUUUGCAAUUAAUUUCAUAACAUGUUUCAAAGGGUAGGAGACUAGAAGCGGUGAGUUAAGUAUACUUAAUCAAUUAAUUAGCAACAUUUCCAAUUGGAUUUGAGAUUUUAUGUUAAAAAAAAUAAAGUAAGAUGGUUUCCAUCAGCAUAAGCUCUCAAGUCUCUACAUAGAAAUUGGUUUAUUUAAUUAAUAUUGGAUGGUAAAGCUAAGAAUAGACCACAAAUUUUGAGUUCUCAUUUAUUUUGGAUACCACAUGCAUAUAAAAUUUGAUUUAUUUUGAUCUGAAAAAAGAAGAGAUACCCAUCAAGGGUUCAUAUAUAUAUAUAAAUAGAAAGAGAGAACAUUCAACUGAUCAUCAUCUUGGGACCAUUUUAUAUCUCCUUUUGUAGAAAACAAAAGGCAAAAGUGAUUAUAAAAGAAAAGGGAAAAGAGAGGAAGAAAAAUUAAAUUGGAAAAGAAGAAAAAGAUCAUUUUGGUCGUGUAAAGGUCUUCUGCAGAAGCAAAUAUUAAGUGGCCCUCAGGUUCUCUUCUGUAUCUUUGUGUAUGAUCAACUUUCACUAUACAUAUUUAUUCACUUAAAAAAGUCAUAUAUUGGAUUAAUACUUAUCCUGGUUUGCCUUAUUGCUUGGCCUUUCUAUCCUCAUCAAAAAAAAUUGGACCACCAUCAUAUAAUCUGUGCUGAGUCCAGACAAUUAUCUCUAUGAUCAUAACUUCAUCAUCGUCAAUGCUUAAAAUGCUAAAUGGGGUAUGACAGUGCUCAAGACAAUUUGUCAAUGAAGAUUUAGGUAAAAUAGUAUGACACUUCUUUCCACUUUGAUGUUACACAACAAUCAACCUUUUCAGUCAAAUUAAAUUACAUUAAUUCAUUGCUUACAAAAAAACAAUCAGAUUAAAAUAAUUAUAGAAAAUAUUUCUUGAAAUCAAGACUUUUGUACAUAAAAUGCUAAAAUGAUUGGAAAAUUAUUGUACAUAUGAUUUGAAAGUUAUUGAAAAGAAAUUUGAAAAUGACAGUCCAUUCUUGGACACUGAUUUGUAUUCAGUCCUUAUUAUACACAUCUUAAUACAUAUCUAUACAGGUCAUACCGAAGAAAGAAAAAAGAAAAGAGAAAAAAGAAAAGAGAAAAAAGAAAAGAGAAGAAGAAGAAAAUGUUAAGUUUCGAUAGAUAAUUUUUGUCCUACUCUACCCCAGUCCAAUCGAAGCCUGCUCUUAAAACAGGCACCGUUUCUAGUUUUUCUUUAAAAGACGGCCAAGCUUAUCAAAAUUUCGCCACACAAAAUUGAUUAUAUAAAUACUGAUGAAUCAAGCAAGGUAAAAAAGAAACUUCAUGUGACAGUUAGAUUAUUAAGAGAGGGUAAAGUGUGGAAGGAUGUGGACAUGACAAUAAUGGAGUUGCAUCAGAGUACAGUAGUUAGGGUUUCAUAAUUUGUUGUUGGUGGGUUAUAUUCCGACCGACUGAAGUUGAUGAGCAUAUUCAUACAGUCGAAUCUUGUUGGGUUGAUUCACUAUAAGACACAUUAGCUAGUUAGCUAGCUACUCUCAACGUCAAAGGUUAGUUGUUAACCCGUAAAAUCUUGUAUUUUGUAUCUUGUUUUGGACCAGAAGGGCAUGCCCUACUAAUUAUUGUGUGGCCCAAUUAAUUCUUUGAUAAUGCUUUGGAUUGCAGACUUUCUUCUUCUUCUUUAAUCUAUGCUUAAGGGUCUACGGAUUAUCUUGUGCUAAGUUAAGUUUAUUUCCUUUCUUUUGGCUUUGUUGCAACUUGCUUUGCACAUUCUCCCACAAACAAACAUCAUCAUAUUCAUGUUUUCUCUUUUUCCAUUAUUCAAAUUCCACUAUAAAUAAAAGAUCAAAUAUAAUCAUAUAAAUAUAUAUCGGAUUGGCAUUUACAUUAUGUCAAUCCAAUGCUCUCCCACUAAGACUCAAAGCUGUCGUUUUUUCAAUAAAAAUUAAAUGUCAGUAGCCAAGUUAGAUAGAUAAAUGACAGUGUUUUUCUUCAGCCGACAGCAACUAGUUGCAAAUUCCUGUUUCACACAAGGCAAAAAGUACUAUAAGCAGUUUUCAGCGAAGGAAACUUAAAGGAAGGAAGGAAGGAAGGAAGGAGAAGUUGCCCUACAAAGUCGUAUGCAUGGUCCAGAGGCACGUGAUAGCCAUGCAGACAUUUGGCACUGAGUCACACCGCCGGGGCUGCUUUCUCUGCUACAGCUACGCAUAAUGCACAUGUGUACUCGUGGAUUUGGACCAUCCAUUUGAUUUUGAUCCAUUUACUGCUCUUUAUUGUCAGUGGUCCUUUAUUAAUCUAUGGUAGUAAACUGUCUUCAUCCUUCUAUUUUUCCCAUGGACCAUUUCCCAUUAUUAACACUUAAAACGCGUUAUGGUCUUUGAGUUAGACUUAGAUUGUUAUGUUUUCUUCUUUUUUGUUUUCUGAUAGAGAAUGACUUAUGUACAGUUGGUUUAAAUACAUAAUGCUCUAUUUCUUUUACUUUUAGGCCAUAAUUUAUUAUAUGUAUUCAGUGUUAAAUGCUCAUUUCUAUAAUAUAAAAAUUUUUAGAGUUAAUAUUCUUGAUUUAUCCUUAUUAAUCCUUGAAUUCAAAAUUUCAUUUAUCAUAGAAGCUGAUAGAAUGAAAGAGAAGAAUAUGACAUCUCGCUGAAUUAAUGGUAGUUAUAGCUAACUUGUAUAAUCUUUUAAUGGUAAUUUAUAUGAUAAUUUCCUUUUUAAAUUAUAGCAUCCACUCUAUUAUUAAUUUUUUAAAAUUUUUAUGUGUGAUAUAAGUUACUUGGAUUGAAAAAUCAAUGUUUAAAGAUUAGUACUAACUAAUUAAUUAGCUUUAUGGAUGUGAUGUUUAUUCAAUGGGUGAUGAACAGCUAAGUUAUGCAUAGACAGCAUGGAAAAAUAACGAGUGAUAGAAAGAAAUGGAAAUAAAUUGAUAAUUGUUUACGAUAUUUGCUAUAUGCAAAUAAUAGAAAGUAAACGUGGUUAAAGACUUAAAGGGCUAGGCUUUGGAGAUAGAAUCAAAAAAAAAGGUUAUCCUUCGAGUGUAAAGAGUUGGCUUUAUUACGUACAUGAAAAGAGCAAGACAGGCAGGCGCGCGACUGUGAAUGGGAGAAGACUACUGCAUAGAUUUUAUUUAUUGUUGUAACGAAGGAAAGCAAUUUUGGUAUUGACCAAACAAUAUUCUAAAAUUUAUUGGAUUAAAACUAAAUCAUGCAUACUCCUGUGUUAAUUAACCAAAGAGUAAAAUGCGAAUCAAUAUCAAUCAGGUAUUAUAUGAUUUGAUAUGAGAAAUGAGAAGUCUUGACUAACCAAAGGAUAAAAUGCGAAUCAAUGUCAAUUAAAUAUUAUAUGAUUUGAUAUGAGAAAUGAGAAGUUUUUUGUUUCAAUUAUCUUGAUUAUAAAAAAUUUUCACCAAUUUUGGUGAAUAAAAAGAAAACAUUACUUCUAUUGUGUACUUUAUCGUAUAUUUUGGUCUAUUUUCCUCCCGAUAAACAUCAUAAGUGAAAAAAAGGCAAUUUUGAUAUGCAUAAUCAACGCUUUUCUUUGCCCUUUCUUCAACAUGGUAUGCUAUUUAGGACCACCAUUUGCAACUUGCAUCUUCAAUCAUUAGACCAUCCCUAGUUCCAUAUGUCAUAGCUAAGAAUUAAAUCUGGAAGAGAGUACCAAUUUCUCGAAUUUCUGACUUUCUACGCUUUGAGUGAUACAUACAGUAGUCGAAUGACAUGUAUUGUCCUAUUCUAAAGUGAUGGAAUACUCUGAAGUGUAUAUAUAGAUUUUUAUUAUUAUUGCAGUCACUCUCUUAUCUCACUUAAUUAAUUAGAGAAACAUCAGUUCAACAAACAUUCACCAUGAUUAAAUGAUUUGAGAACGAUUCUUUGCUACCUAAAUCUUGGAAUAUUGUGAUUGAUUGCUUCUAGAACUGUACAUCAUCUUCGUGUCUUUUCAAAAUUUCCUGUGGGGAAAAGAUAAACAAAGUUAUAUUUUACACUUGAAAAAUGCACUUAUUAGGGUGAAAACUGAAAAGGGUAAAUAAUAUAUUAUUAUUGCUAAAUCGACAGGUUAGAAAAAUUAUAUGCUACGUGAAAAUCAAGUUGGAAGUCCUAUUGCAUUAAAGUGAAAAAAGAGAGCUCCAUCAAUGAUUUGAGGAUGAGAUAGAUAAAUCGUAGCCACCAAAAGAAUUGUUGAAGCGAAGAAAGGUUUGUAUCCCCAAGAGAGCUAAGCAAAAAAGAUGCAUCUUUUUUAUCUCCCUUUUGAUAGUGUAAGGAGAUACGACUGCAUAAAGAGCAGAUUCCAUUACUCUACUCCACAUGGACAUUGUGGCUUUUGUAGUGGAAUUUGUCUCCUUUCUCUGUUGGAAUCUCAAUGGAUACUAGAAGAAUCUUCCCUAGUUUCAAAACAGAAUGUACAAAUUCUAGCUAUACCUACUAAAAACAAAAUCGUCAAUAGUCAACGUCUACAUAUAUUAGAUUCCAUGUUGUAAUAAUAACACAGUAUGUGUGAGUCGUUGGCUCUGUUGGCAGAAUACAGGAAUCUGGGUAAUGGGAUCCACGCUCCACACCAGGUUUAGUGGUACUGGAGAGUGCACUAUAGAUUCUUUCUGUAUUUACAUUCCUCUUUGCAGGAAGAGAGCGUCUUUGUUUUUAUUUAGUUUUAGGUUGUUAGAGUGAAGGGAUAUAAGAAAUCCAUUUGUUUCAAUCUAAAAACCUUGAAUCUAUAAGAUUCCCUCAAUCUAGAGGAUAUACGUUGAAACGGGGAAGGAUUCCAUUUUUAUAUAUUAAAUCAAUUAAAAACAGUUUUUUUUUUCAUUGCAAACGAGAGGUAUUUGUGACUGUUCAUAGGGGAAAAAAAAAAAAACAGAAACCGUAUUUUAAAGAACUUUUUUUUGAUUGGGUCGCGUGUGAUGUUUUUAUACACUACGUGUAGACAAAGCAAAACAAUUGGCCUACACAAGCGGUGAGGAUACAACAUGUUGGCCCAAAAAUAAGAUGAAAAUGGGCUGUUCAAAUUAUAUAGUCCAAACUAACUUGGAUUUACCGUUUUGGACCUUUGUUUAGCUUUGAAACCAAUAUGUUAUAGAAAGAAAGUUUAUGGGCCUCCAAUUGGCCCAAUAAGUUGAACCUUAACCCUCCUGAAAUUAUGAAUGCAUACACAAUUAUUAAAAAAGAAAAAAAACACAAAUAUAUAAAUGAAAGUUGAAAGUGUUACUGAAAAAAAAAAAAUAUUUAUCACAAAAUAAUUAUCUCAAAUUAUAUCCAUAAUCAAAUCCUACACCAAAUUAGAGGAAGGAAAAAUUGAAAAUACACAAUAGAAACAUCGUAGUUAAUCAAAGUCAGAACUGCAAGCUUCUAGCGCUUAACAUUUAAUGCUUGAAUUCUUUAAAAAAAAAAAAAAAAAACACUUAAUACUUGAAAUACUCUAAACAUUGUCUUUUCAUGUUCUUCAUCUCAAACUCAUUAGUAUCACAAAACUCAGAGAAUUGAGGAACUUGCAUUUGAGAAGAAACAUUAGGCAUGAUUGAGCCUUGUCCAGAACCUAACAGAGACAACUGCCUCAUUUCCCCGCAAUAGCUUACUGGAUGAGGGAUCCCACCAUUAUGAUUAUUCAAUAUCACCAUAUUACCUGCCGUCUGAUCAGCUUCUUGAGCUCCAAAUUGACUCAAAUCUGUACCGUUGGCUUUCAUCAUCAUCAUCAUCAUCAUAGGACUAUUAAGAGGAUUAACAUUAAAAGGAAGCACCUGAUGAUGAUCAAAUGGCUGCUGUAAUUCUGUACACUUUUGUUGCAAGGCAUUAGCGAAGGUAGAAGCCAUUGAAUUGUAUCUAUUAUUAAUAUUAUUAUUGCUCGAGCUUCCUUGAAUAAUAUUAACUGACUUGGAAUCUUCACCGAUCAUCAAAUAAUUGUCACCUUUUAUCUUCAAAAUCCUACUCAUUGCAGUUUCAAGCUUAGACUGUAAAACAGUAUGCAAUAAACAGAGUUCUUCAAGUUCCGAUGAGUUUAAACGAUUAUCCCAAGUAGGAAACUUGGCUUCCAAACAGGCCCUAUGCAUUUUAGUAAUCUCAUCGUCCAAUUUUCUCUUGCGAGUCUCAAAAAAAUGCGACAAAUCUUGACUUUUCUUGCGGUCAUUGCCAUGUGAUUUGUAACGGUCUAUAAUUUUCUUGAUUUCGGAGUGAUCGGUCGGGCAGGUAUCGACGUCAAUGGGACGGUUACUGAAUUUCGGACCAAAGAUUAUCACACAAGCAUCUACGUCGCAGAGAACUCGAAACUCGUGCAGUUUCUUUGUCAAACCUUUCUUUCUUUUCUGAUAUGUCACCAUGCGAGACCUCUCGUUGGUAAUUAGUUUCAUGCUCAGCUUUCCACGUCCCAUCUCUUCGAUCUACAUUUAAAAAAAAAAAAAGAACUGAAAUUAUCAGAAAAUUAAUAUUUAAAGUAUCCUAUAAAACAAAUUGCAACUAACAAAUGGAGAAAUUAAUUACAAAAACACUUUCUGCCAUGAGCUCGAAAUGAAAUUAGUUUCAUUUCCCAAAAAGGAUAUAGAUAUACUCGGAAAACAAAAUGAAAAAAAUACCAAAAAAAAUUUGAUAAAUUAGAAGACAUUUUAGACUUGAAUGGCUAUGUUUUUGCAUAAAGGGAAACACAAUGGAGAAGGUGUUGGUAUAAUAAGAGAGAAACCUGGUUUUAAAAGCCUUUGAUCUAACUACAGCAAGCCAAGAAUGGAGAUUUUUCAUUUUUUUUUUUUUCCAUAGAGCUUUAUAAAGGGAAAACUGUGUUGCUUCAUAAUAAAGAAUAUUACUAUUAUGGAAAAUGAAUCAUCAUCCGCUGAUUUUUGCAUAAAAAAAUUAGGAAUUUAAUUUGUAUAGCAAUGCCCAACAGGCGGAUUUUUCCAUUUUGCUAUCUUGCAGGCCGACAGAACAUUGCUAAUACCAUAUUACUAUAUUUGGAAUCCCAUCACUCACUCUAAAUAGGAAAUACAUUUAUUACUAUCUCUUAUUUAUUUAAAAAAUCAUUAAAAUGAAAGACAUUUUAUAUAUAUGGAAACAAAAAUCUUUCCAAGCUGGAUUUCAAUUUUCAUUUCAACUGAUUCAUUUUUGCAUCAAAUAUUUUCCUUAUCAUUUAUAUUAUGGACCAGAUCAUCUUGAUUAAAAAAAAAAAAAAAAAGUUUUAACUAAGCAUUAGUUGGGCUGGGCUUCAUCGCCGUAUUGUUAGUUUGGGUUGAGAGGAUUUCUUUAUAGUCUAUGACUUAGUAACCAAAGUUGGGCCUAGAUGAAUUAGUUUGCAUGAUCUGAUCCAGAUAAUUUAUUUUAAAGAAAAAUUCACAUUCAGAAUUUUUUUUUUAAUAAUAAUAACAAUUUAAUAAUCAGAUUAAUGAGUGAAUAUAAACUUUCUUUCAUGAUUUUUUCUGGCUUUGAUUCAAUCAAUUUCUGCUUCAAGAUGAGAAGAAAUAAUAGUAAAAGCUUUAAUUGAAUCUUCUUUGCUGUCUUAAUUACCUUUUUUUUCGCAGAAUAAUUGUGCAUCUUAUCAAAUAUGUCCUAUUAAAUGCAUUAUCCGAGAGAAUUAAAAUGGAAAUUGAUAAUUAGAAACUGAUUACACAAAACAUAACCAGAGACAUAAAAUCUAUAAAUCAAAAAAGAAUAUAAACAAAAAAUAAUAAAAAGACAACCUGAAACAUUGUCAGAAAUUCUCCAUCUUCAUCAAAUCUCCUUUAGGAGGAGAAAAUUAAGCCUAUAGUCUAAUGGAAGAUAGACUAUUUGGCUUUGAAUUGACACUGCGAGGAGUUCCAGCUGGUUGAACAAAAAUUUCUGCAUACAUUUCCAUGAAGAAAUUGUCAACAAUGUCCAGAUAAGCAGGGCAUGUUAAACGAGAAUAAUAAUGGAGAAUCUCUUCUAUGUCUAGAACAUGAUCCACAUUACUAACAUCCAUCAUUUCUAGCUCCCUUAGCUUCUGCGCCACCAAAAAGCUCCUUCCGUCAUCUUUUACGCUAUAAUUUGAACUAUUCUCCACCAAUCUUUUCCCUCUUUGGAAACCCUUGCCCUUGUUAUUACUAAUAUACGUUUUAACAGGACUCUUCUUCGAGAAUUUCAUGAAACUUCCAUUUAGACCAUCACUUUUUUCUUGCUUGGCUGGUGAUGACGGUCGCGGUUGUUCUAUCUUCUUCUUGUUUCCUUUAUUCAUUUCCUUUCCUUUAUCAGUAUCCCACCUGUCGCUGAAGUCAGUGUAGAAGUUGUCCAAAUCAUUUUUAUUGAAUCUUGUUUGGACAUUAGAGUACGGAUUGUAUGGAGAUAAGGUUUUGGGCAUUUUUUCGUAAGAAGAACCAGAAAAGAAAGACUUGAAGCUUUGUAAGGUUUUCUGGAAGAAUUUCUUGGUGUUGGAGAAGGAGCUUUUUAGCAACAUUGUCAAUGGUGGUGGUUAGUUCAGUUGUUUUAUGUGGAGGUACAAAAGAAACAGAUACUAUUUGUCUCUCUAUCUCUCAGUUUCUUUAUAGAGAAAGAAGAGAUAGAGGAGCCAUGAAAGGUUCUUGAAAUUACUAAAGAGAAAGAAAAGAGAAUGCAGUGGGCAGCAUUAUGUCUGUUUGUCUUUACACGCUCUUCUUUUUUCUUUUUGUUGUAUUAAUUUCUUGAAAUCCAGCUGAGUCCCCACCCACUGAUCAUAUCUCUCUCCCACACACGAAGGUAUCGAAAGAAAAUGGUAAAGCUUAUGUGAAAGUUUGAUGAAUAUUUAUUAUAAGAAAGUUUUCCAUCAUUUUUACUUUGUAAGGUGGAGUUGGUGUGUAGGGCUCUUUGGGAGAAAGGAAAGGAAAGGAGCGGGUGUGGUUGUUGAACUGGCUCUUUCUUUCUCUACAUUCUUUGGCUCUAGCGGCUUGUUGGUAAGAGUUCUGUUAUCGUAUAUUGCCUGCUGUUCUCCCUAUAUAUACACAUACAAAUACAUUCUCAUUGUACAUCCCCAUAUAAGAUUUAAUUCAAUAAUAAAUAAUGGGGCCACAGAAUUGCAAAUUAAGUAUUAUCAACUAUAUUAAUCACAUGGAGACAAAAAAAAAAAAAAAAAUUGUGUGUGAAGAUUUUUUUUUAAUUUUAUGAUAUGGCUCUAUAAAUCAAAUUUUAAUUAACAAAAUGAGAGUAAACUCACUUGUUUAAUGAAUUAUGAGUUUAAAUUUAAUAAAUACUACUAACUAAUUAGUAGGAUAAUUAAAAUCAUUGGAGGUAGGCAUGACGUCUAUGUAAUAAGGUGUAGAGUAUCUCUCUCAUAGACACUUCAAUCAUUAGGAUGUCUCUUUUAAUCGAUGUAGUAAUUAGUAAUUAGGAUUAGAUUUGUUUAUUUUGCUCGUAAUAUAUUAAAAUGUUUUGGUUCGAGAAUCAUAAGAUGAUGGACCAUUCCCUCCCCACUAUAAGACAAAUUCCCGUGAAUCACGGAUUGGAUCGACUUGCACUAUUUCUACACUAUUAAUUAAGUCAAAACCAACACUAAUUGACCAAAAGUAAGCCAUAAGACCAACAAUGUCUCUAAUCAUUGAUGAUUUUUUUUUUUUUUUGGGAUGAAUGAUAUUAUUUUAUUUGAUACAUUAAUACCCAAUUAAUAUUUAAAAUUGAAUCAUUAACUACUAUAGUAAGCAAUUUAUCAUUGUAUUCUAACAAUAUUGAAAUUAAUUUUUUUUACACCCAAAUAUAAACCUAUAGCCUGGGUGAUUCCAUAGAUUGCAGGGGCAACGUAUGUUACCGUUAAGCAGCAUAAUUAUACUUUGGCUUUUUAGGUAUUAUUAUUAUUAUUAUUAUUAUUAUAAAGAAUGUUGGCGGCUCGGAGUAGGAGUUAAUGGAAGACAAAAGUGACUAGUGAUUAGGACAAGAGAGCUGUUGAGGUCUAAGAGAAGAUAUAGGGAUAGUUGUAUACUUUUUGAUAAUGUUUGACCAAUUGCUACUGGCCACGCGUUUUGGCGUUCGGAACCAGUCUCCAUCCCUAUCUAGUUCCUUACUAUUCACUCUGACCUAACGGGAACCGCUCUUCGUACGGCUUCAUUUUUUUUUACCCUUUAUUAAUUAACCACUUCCUAUGACUUUUCAAUUUCAUCAAGUAACACAAGAAAUAAGUAAAGCUUUAAUCAAGAAAGCAUCAACCUAAGAAAAAAAAAUGAAAAUAGAAAAGAAAGACAAAUAAAUAAUGUGAAAACAAGUUGUAUUGAUAUAUUAUUCACUUGCCUUUACAACCAGCAUAAUAGGAAUUUCACUAAAUGGGGAUACAAUGCCUAUCUAAAUUGGAAAUAAAACCUUAUAAAAAUUAAAGUUUAAUAUAAAAAAAAAAGAUUUAUAAAAUUAUUCUGAGUGGAAACAAAUUUGUAUAAUUACUAACUAUGACGGUAUAUUUGCAACUUUUUUGGACCCUAAAACUUAAUUUUAAGCCGAUGUCAAUAUUACUAUGGAAAAUAAUAUUUAUCUAAUGAAUGGUAAACGUUCAUUUUCACCUUUAUUUCUAUCAUUUUCAUAUGAAAGACGAGAAAGAAGAGGAAAAUGAGAAAGUUCCUUACGGCACCUAGUUUAAAUGUAUGGAAUUCUAUUCGAUUUCAUCAUCUUACUAGUUGUUACAUAAAAUUAGAAAGGCUUGGCAAAGAGCCUCCUAAAAUGAUGUAUGAAGCUGCUUUUCUUUGAGAAGAUGUAUGCAGCUUUUAUAAGCAAAUGAAGCAAAUGAAGGUGAAAAAACGGAAAUGCCAAACAAAGUCAAAAAAAAAAAAAAAAAAAAAAAAAAAAAAAAAAAAAAAAGUGAGGGACAUUAAUCAUCCAGAAUUAUAGCUCUUACAUGUUCUCUCUUGAACAACAACAGAAAAACCAAACACAUAAAUAAAAUCAUUUAGGCACUAUACAAGCACAAACUUUUAAACCAUUUAACCAUUCACAGAUGUCAUAUAGACAUUAGUCAUCCAGCAUUAAUGUGAUACUUCCAUAUAAACUUUAUCAAACCAGUAAUAAUAUCAAUAGCUGUUAGAGUUUCUCUUGAACUAUAGAAAAACCGAAUACAUCUACUAGUUGCAGUGCAACAAAGACAUUCUCCAUUAACAGAGACAAACACAUUCUCUAUCCUCCAUCAACAAAAUCAACAUCUUCAUCUGACCUCAGCGAGCUUCAUACUGAACAACUGCAAGAGGCAAACUUUUUGUGUUAAACCAAAUGAUUAAGCACUGAUAAGUCUUAAGAGUCAAGGGAGUCUGCAUCAGACAAACCAUAAGAUUUUGCUGAAAUCUAGACAUGUAAAAUAUACAUGUGGGAGAAGUGUCUAUGAAAGGAUAUAAAGGCCAAACAAGAAACAAGCACUAAAUGCAUGGUUACAACUGUUGCAUUGUAAACAUGUCAGUAUGUUGCAAAUUGUGGCCGGCACCAUAAAGAAACUUCUUAAAAAAAAAAAAAAAAAAAAUCAAAAAAAAACAAAAAAAAAAAAAAAAAAAAAAAAAAAAAAAAAAAGAAAA
rnacentral:lncRNA from 1 species